AUGAACGCUGGCGGCGUGCUUAACACAUGCAAGUCGAACGGAAAGGCUCCUGCUUGCAGGGGUACUCGAGUGGCGAACGGGUGAGUAACACGUGGGUGAUCUGCCCUGCACUUCGGGAUAAGCCUGGGAAACUGGGUCUAAUACCGGAUAGGACGAUGGUUUGGAUGCCAUUGUGGAAAGUUUUUCGGUGUGGGAUGAGCUCGCGGCCUAUCAGCUUGUUGGUGGGGUAAUGGCCUACCAAGGCGUCGACGGGUAGCCGGCCUGAGAGGGUGUACGGCCACAUUGGGACUGAGAGACGGCCCAGACUCCUACGGGAGGCAGCAGUGGGGAAUAUUGCACAAUGGGCGCAAGCCUGAUGCAGCGACGCCGCGUGGGGGAUGACGGCCUUCGGGUUGUAAACUCCUUUCGCUAGGGACGAAGCGUUUUGUGACGGUACCUGGAGAAGAAGCACCGGCUAACUACGUG
rnacentral:rRNA from 1 species